GAGGGCGAAUCUCAGUGGUAGAGCUCAUGCCUAACAUGCACGGGGUCCUAGGUUCAAUCCCUAGUACCUUCA
rnacentral:tRNA from 1 species